rnacentral:rRNA from 1 species
UACGAAGGGGGGCUAGCGUUGCUCGGAAUCACUGGGCGUAAAGCGCACGUAGGCGGCUUUUUAAGUCAGGGGUGAAAUCCUGGAGCUCAACUCCAGAACUGCCCUUGAUACUGAGAAGCUUGAGUCCGGGAGAGGUGAGUGGAACUGCGAGUGUAGAGGUGAAAUUCGUAGAUAUUCGGAAGAACACCAGUGGCGAAGGCGGCUCACUGGCCCGUUACCGACGCUCAGGCGCGACAGCGUGGGGGAGCAAACAGG